CCCUUUCCGUAAAUUCUGGGAACCUGUUUAACUCGUCCCGGAAAAACAAGAACUGGCCUAAAGGAGUGAGAUUGAGUGAGUGAGUUUAGUUUUACGCCGC